GCAGGCGCAGCUGCUACGGCUCCUGAAAUCCUCCGGUGUGAACUUCUCCCAGGGCUGUUGAUGCUUCAUCUACUCUUCUGGCAGUGGGGGCCUGGACCUUAGUUACCCGGGGAGCGUGAGUCAUGUUGCACAGUUGAGCUGGCACAUAAAACUGCGAGUCACACCAGAAGAGGGCAUUGGAUCCCACUAUAGACUGUUGUGAGCCACCUUGUGGUUGCUAGGAAUUGAACUCAGGACCUCUGGAAGAGCAGUUGGUGCUCUUAACUGCUGAGUCAUCUCUCCAGCCCCAGAGCAAGGAAUUGAAGCUUGGAGAAGAUUGAUGGACCACUCAAGUUCUCUGGAUGGUCCAGGAUGCAGACUGAGGCUGGCCUAAAACGUUAGUUUUGCUGACUCCCUGUGCUUGGCUAACCUUAGAGCCUCUUACCUUGCCAUAGUCUUUUCUAUGAAGGACAGAGAGCCAAGGAGUGGACCAACAUGCCUGAG
rnacentral:lncRNA from 1 species